rnacentral:tRNA from 1 species
GUAGAUAUAGUUUAACAAAGACACUAGAUUGUGAUUCCAGAAAUAGGGGUUAAAAUCCCCUUAUCCACC